rnacentral:lncRNA from 1 species
AUUGUCAGACUAACAAGGCUUACAUAAAUGUUAUCUUCACUAGAAUGGAAGAAAACUUGUGUGAUCACUUAGAGGAAAUCCUACAGAAUUGGCAAGUAUAAAACACUAGAGUUCCACCAAAAAAGACUUUGAAAUCAAAUAUGAAAAUAAUAUUUUCUCAAAAAUGUUUGGCACACAUGAAGGAGUCUCUGGUUUCUUCCACGGAAAGAGGAGGAUAUUUCUUAUUUUGGGAUGAUGCAUUUAAUGAAGAACAAUUUCAAGUAAGGGAGAGGUUGCUCUGAGGAAAACCUGAGUGGCUCACCCUGGCUCUCUUCCCAGCAUGGGAUUCUGGUACGUGCCUCACCAAUGGGUAUUAAUUUUCGUCACGUCCCAGGGCAGUUU